rnacentral:rRNA from 1 species
AGCGAACGCUGGCGGCAGGCUUAACACAUGCAAGUCGAGCGGGCACUUUCGGGUGUCAGCGGCGGACGGGUGAGUAACGCGUGGGAACGUGCCCUCUGGUUCGGAAUAACUCAGGGAAACUUGAGCUAAUACCGGAUACGCCCUUUUGGGGAAAGGCUUGCUGCCGGAGGAUCGGCCCGCGUCUGAUUAGCUAGUUGGUGAGGUAACGGCUCACCAAGGCGACGAUCAGUAGCUGGUCUGAGAGGAUGAUCAGCCACACUGGGACUGAGACACGGCCCAGACUCCUACGGGAGGCAGCAGGGGGGAAUAUUGGACAAUGGGCGCAAGCCUGAUCCAGCCAUGCCGCGUGAGUGAUGAAGGCCUUAGGGUUGUAAAGCUCUUUUAUCCGGGACGAUAAUGACGGUACCGGAGGAAUAAGCCCCGGCUAACUUCGU